rnacentral:rRNA from 1 species
AUUGAACGCUGGCGGCAGGCUUAACACAUGCAAGUCGAGCGGAGAUGAGGUGCUUGCACCUUAUCUUAGCGGCGGACGGGUGAGUAAUGCUUAGGAAUCUGCCUAUUAGUGGGGGACAACAUUCCGAAAGGAAUGCUAAUACCGCAUACGUCCUACAGGAGAAAGCAGGGGAUCUUCGGACCUUGCGCUAAUAGAUGAGCCUAAGUCGGAUUAGCUAGUUGGUGGGGUAAAGGCCUACCAAGGCGACGAUCUGUAGCGGGUCUGAGAGGAUGAUCCGCCACGCUGGGAGUGAGACACGGCCCAGACUCCUACGGGAGGCUGCAGUGGUGAAUAUUGGACAAUGGGGGGAACCCUGAUCCAGCCAUGCCGCGUGUGUGAAGAAGGACUUAUGGUUGUAAAGCACUUUACGCGAGGAGGAGGCUACUGAGACUAAUACUCUUGGAUAGUGGACGUUACUCGCAGAAUAAGCACCGGCUAACUCUGUGCCAGCCGCCGCCGCGGUA